AUUGAACGCUGGCGGCAGGCUUAACACACGCAAGUCGAGCGGGGGAAGGUAGCUUGCUACCGGACCUAGCGGCGGACGGGUGAGUAAUGCUUAGGAAUCUGCCUAUUAGUGGGGGACAACAUCUCGAAAGGGAUGCUAAUACCGCAUACGUCCUACGGGAGAAAGCAGGGGAUCUUCGGACCUUGCGCUAAUAGAUGAGCCUAAGUCGGAUUAGCUAGUUGGUGGGGUAAAGGCCUACCAAGGCGACGAUCUGUAGCGGGUCUGAGAGGAUGAUCCGCCACACUGGGACUGAGACACGGCCCAGACUCCUACGGGAGGCAGCAGUGGGGAAUAUUGGACAAUGGGGGGAAUCCUGAUCCAGCCAUGCCGCGUGUGUGAAGAAGGCCUUAUGGUUGUAAAGCACUUUAAGCGAGGAGGAGGCUACUCUAGUUAAUACCUAGGGAUAGUGGACGUUACUCGCAGAAUAAGCACCGGCUAACUCUGUGCCAGCAGCCGCAGUAA
rnacentral:rRNA from 1 species